CAGGCCUCUUGCAGUGAUGAUGAACAAAGUCUACCAAAAACUACUGCUUCCAGCAGGGCAAGAAGGCUCCCGUGAACAUUGGAAGUUGUAACUCAGAAUCUUCUAAAUAGUACCUAAGCAUCCUCUUAACACACACACUGGUAUGAAUUCGUAACUGGCCAGGGGCUUGAGUCUGUCCCAGUACUACCACAGUCAACAACCACUCUACUUCCCAGCCUCUGAAAGAUCUGUGCUAGCUAUGACUGACAAGGUUUGGGUAAAGAAGAGACUGUGCAAAUGUUUAAGGGGAGAAAAGAGGUAUGCCUCAUUUAAAAUAGCAGGUUGUCUUUAAUACAAGUAGUGGAGAUGAAUUAAUGAGUUAAGUGCUUACUCUGGCUUAGCACAAUAAAACCACUAAGCCAUUCAUUUAGUGUGUGAGAAGCCUCACUGUCUGCCAAGGUGAAAGAUUCCUGCAGUGCUGUGAUAACAUUUUGAAGGCCACAAUUUUUAAAAUGUAAAUGGGCAAAUGUGUUUGAGUGGGACAAAAUAAAUCCCUUGUGUCAAAGCAGAUUAUGGUAUAGGCAUUUUCUCUAUGGAUAAUUUGUUUCCCCUACAGAAAAGUAACAUCUGUUGUGACAGAUUCAUGCAUAUGCUCACCCUUGCUUCAGGGUAAAGAUCCGUAGUGACACUGACUUGCGAAAUACAAUGAAGACACAGGUUAGUGAGAUAGUGUGACAUGUCACGCCGACACCAUGCAGGUAGAGCACAGAAUCAGGCUUGGCAUGGCCUUUCCUGUAUAGAAGUCUUACAAAAUUGGAGAGGAGACAGGAGGCAAGGAGAUGAAAAGCUGAAAGAAUCUGGACCUGGGCAAUUACCUGAGCUGACGUGAGUUGGAGUGCUGUGUAAAUAGUGCUAUUAAGAGCCAGAAGAGAAAAUCGGACUGAGUGGCAGCCAGGCGAUCCAUUGGCAGUGUGGUGCCAACAGCAGAGGAACAGUGCAUUGACUACUGUCAGCUUGCUCCACUUGCAACUCAAGAGAGACGAGAGACUUCCUGAUGGUAUCUGAGCAGCUGGGCAACUCAGUCUGAAUGGACUCAAAUAUUGCAGAGGAUUUGCCGAAAAGGACAAGACAGCCUACUUUGCCUAGGUGAGCUCAUGCACAACAUGAUACACAGAUCUACAAAGCCCCCACCUUAGUAUACUCUGGCCAUACUGUUCUGAAGAGUGAGAAGCUGGUUGUAUGAAUAUGAGCUUGCUUACAUCUCUCAGCAUGUUUUUUUUUUUUUUUUGGUGGUGGUUUUUUUUUUCUUUUUCUUUUAAAUUCAUUUGUAAAACAGAUCAUUCCAAGUUCUUGUUAAAAUUAUGACUCAUGUUUUACAUUUAUCUAUGCUUGCUCUUCAGGAAAAUAAUUAUCCUCAGGGAAUCCUAAUCAAAAUCUCUCUGUAAGUAGUACCAAAGUGAGGUUUUUAGUUUUCUUUUAUGUGUGUGUUAAGGGGCCAUUUUUUCAUGUAUUUUGUUUAGAUACUGCUGAUAACAUUAUUUUUAACAUAAAGACUUUUUUUCCAUCUCCCUUGAUUUGCCUGCUUUAGAGUAAAUAUACGCUGCAUACAGAUUACACGAAAAUUAUCCUUGGGAUUUAAUUCCUCAUUUCUUCUUAUCUCACAAGUCUAGGCCUCACCCUCAGUUCCAUUUCAGAAGAAAAUCUGCAGCGCCUUUUGUCCUGUUAUCAACGUGUGAUAAUGACAGACUUGGAAAGUUCUGUGCUGCUGCCUUCUCAGACUUUCCUUUGGCGUCACUUUGGGGAUAGAGAUCAGAGCCAGUAGACAACGCCAGCAACCAGGGCAACCAGGAGAAGACCAACUACAAUGCCCACUAUUAGCUUUGCCUGGUCAUUAACCUUUUCGCUAUUGUCAUCUGAAGCAAAGAAGAAAAGUUAAUGAGGUGACCUACGAUAAAGAAAAGUGUUACGCCAUUUCUAAAGUAUUGCCAUCAGAAACAAGAAAAGGAGUCAGAAUGUCAAAAUGAAAAAAAAAAAAAAAAGAGUAAGCAUUGUUUUUAAAAACAAGGUAAAAAAAAAAUCACUUAGAACUUCAAGGAAGUCAUAUUCUUAGUCAAUCAUGGCACUAAGCUACUUCAAGUCCAAGGGGCUGUGGAAAUUGUUCAGUGAGACUAUGUAGGUCUUAAACUGAGAAAAUAAAUAGCAAGGGUUAUGGAAAUGGAAAGCCAUACAUACCAGUUCUAUCCUCUGGCUCAUCGUACUCUGGGAUACUUACUGAAAUGAGAAAUGUUAAAAUUAAUAAUAAAAUGCGUUAUACCUGAAAUUCACCUUUAAUUGUCUAUUUACAGCAAUGACAGAAACACUGAAACUUAAUGCAGUAUUUGCCCAAUGAGAUAAUUAAUCUCUGAGCAAAAGUCAUUGUUUUGUAACUAUAAUGUAUCCAGUUCAAGAAUCUUACUCAAAAACUGUAAUAUUAAUCACAGAAAUAUUUCUGACUACAUAUUUCUAACUAAAUGUUUCUUUUUCACAAAUAGUAGUUUCUCGCCCCAUUUCAUCACUGAAAACUGACAUUCAGAAUCAAGUCAUCCCAGUAAUGAUAAACUGGAAUUUGGGGACUAAAAGAUGAUUAUGUAGUAAUAAAGACUUUUGUCUUUUAUAAAUGACAUUUUAUGCAUACAAAAUGUAUAUUGUUUUGUACUACUGUUAAUAAUAUUGUUUUGUACUGUUAAUAAUAGUGUUAAUAAUAUUAUUUUGUAACAUUUUUAUAAUACUGUUUUGUAAUAAUAUAAAAUACGUGCAUACAUGAUAUAGCUAGCCUUCAUGACUUUCUUGGCUAAGUGACUUCAUCCAGAAAACUACCAAUAAAUUCAGUGUACUACAAAA